GUGCUGGGGCUCAGUGGUAGAGUGCUUGCCUAGCAUGUAUGAGGCACUGGGUUUGAUCCUCAGCACCACA
rnacentral:tRNA from 1 species